GAGAAGAGAGACUGGAACCUCUCUAUCGCCUCAAGUUCUGGAUUAAUAUAUAGCAAAAUUUACAUGUCCAGUAACAGUUACUCAAUGAGAAUUUUGGAAAUUCACUGAAGCUACAGAGUUCACCCUUGAACAUUGCCAGCUUGGGGGGAGGACAUAAAUAUUGCAACCUGGCUGGAGGGCCGAGUUACGGAAGAGAGACCUGGCCACAACGAGACGCUGCCACAGAUUUCUUCCACAAAAGCUGAGUGAGACCAGUCAUCGUUUGCUUGUGAGCGUGUCAGGCAAGCAGCAUACUUCUCUAGUGCUAGACAGGGCCUCACUUCAGCCUGAAAGAAGAAAGAGAAUGGAUGACGGGGAUGUAUGCAGCCAAGGGGGUGGAACGCAGAAGAUGAUGUCGGGGGUAUGUGUUCCUUUUUGGUGACGUGGGCAUGGGUGUCCAAUGUGAGACCAUCACAAUAUAUUUCAAGUGAACCCCAAUAACUAAACCGUAAUGACUUUGAUCACUACUGAGCUAGGCUGUAUAUGAACUUAUGACUUACAAGUGAAAAAUUGCAUACAACAGUGAUGAGUGGUAGAUAAGAAACUACUGAGGUGGAUAGAUAGAUUAGAGAAAUUAGUAUGCAGGAUGAGAGAUAGAUUCAAUAGGUAUGUAUGGUUAUAGCAAAAUGGAUUGGGGUAAGGUAAGACCUCCCUAUUAAUCACUGAGCUCCCCCAUGCCAUAAUGUAGAGAGCCACUCUGCAGAGGCUGGGAAUAAGGUAGGAAGAUUGUGACUUUGCAGACACAGCCAGCAGUUGCUAGAAUGACAAUCUCAGAAAAGCAGCUGGGGAAAUCAGGGGUCUCAGACACAACCUCCCGGUCAUCACUUACACAGAUUAAUGCAGUCACCCUCUUGGCACAUUUCAAUGGCACUUUUCUUCCUUCUUGCUGGAACGUGCCAAUUCUAAAGGGGUGGAUGCAGUUUGUAAAGCUGCCAUUUUGAUUUAUUAUCCACACCAGAUGAAACCGUUUGAAAUUGAUUUUGGUUUUCCUUGCCCGCAAUGGAGCGACGUUCAGAAGAGAAGGAGAAGUUUGUUUAUGACCUGAAAAAUCAGUAAAAUGAAAAGUACCGAGACUCUAGUUACGUCAGACGCUUAUAUAGUCUCCCUUCAACGUGUUUUACAAGCUCAGUCCCCGAUGCA